rnacentral:rRNA from 1 species
CAGUAGCCGCGGGAAUACAGAGGGUGCGAGCGUUAAUCGGAUUUACUGGGCGUAAAGCGUGCGUAGGCGGCUUCUUAAGUCGGAUGUGAAAUCCCUGAGCUUAACUUAGGAAUUGCAUUCGAUACUGGGAAGCUAGAGUAUGGGAGAGGAUGGUAGAAUUCCAGGUGUAGCGGUGAAAUGCGUAGAGAUCUGGAGGAAUACCGAUGGCGAAGGCAGCCAUCUGGCCUAAUACUGACGCUGAGGUACGAAAGCAUUGGGAGCAAACAGGAUUAGAUACCCCGGUAGUCCCUGUCUCUUAUAC